rnacentral:lncRNA from 1 species
GGCCAAGGUCUACUGGUGACUUCACCCUGAGCUACUGCCCCAUCCAUUUAUUUCCCUUUAGCAAAACCCCGAAGGGCUGCCUAAAGCUACUCUCUCCUUCCUCUGCCCUUUCUUCGGUCCAUCCCAAACUUCAUGUCAAAAAUUAACAGUUGGCAAACCUAACAGUAAAACUAAGUCUCGGAGUUCUCAGCAGCCAUGAAAGAAAUGGUACUCUGCCUGAAACACUUUCCCCUGUGUAUACUAGCCUCUUUCUCAACCUUUCCUAGAACACUGUCCUCUUCCCUGGGUCCUUAAAAAUUUUUAUUAGAUUUAUCCUCUGUGUUAGGUGUGUUUUGCCUGUGUAUACACACACCUGUGUUAUGUUUGGUGCCCAUGUAAGUCAAGAGGGCAUCAAUCCCGUGCAACUGGAGAUAGGGAUACUUGUAAAUUACCACUUAGGUGCUUGGAAUCAGAACUGGGUUCUCUGCAAGAGCAAGUGCUUUUAACCUCGGAGCCAUCUCCCCAGCCACUCUCUAGAACAGCAGAAUCAGUUAUGUGAACUCUUGACUACAAAUGCCAUGUAGUAAAAAGGGCUGCAAGAAAGUGCAGAGUUGGCAACAUGAAAGAAAGGUGGACUAGAGUUUUAUUCUGAAAAUCACUUAUUUUACAUUAUGUACAACAGCAACAACAAAAAAAUACACUUAGAAUUAUCCUGGACUUUUCUCACUUGAUUCUUUUAUGUACGUAAGUACAUUGUAGCUGUCUUCAGACACACCAGAAGAGGGCAUUGGAUUUCAUUACAGAUGGUUGUGAGCCACCCACCAUGUGGCUGCUGGGAUUUGAACUCAGGACCUCUGGAAGAGCAGUCAGUGCUCUUAACCACUAAGCCAUCUCUCCAGCCCUCCACUUGAUUUCCAAUGCACAAUUACAGAGUAAUCUUUAUGCCACA